rnacentral:rRNA from 1 species
GAUGAACGCUGGCGGCGUGCCUAAUACAUGCAAGUCGAGCGAACGGACGAGAAGCUUGCUCUUCUGAUGUUAGCGGCGGACGGGUGAGUAACACGUGGAUAACCUACUUAUAAGACUGGGAUAACUUCGGGAAACCGGUGCUAAUACUGGCUAAUAUUUUGAACCGCAUGGUUCAAAAGUUAAAGACGGUUUUGCCGUCACUUAUAGAUGGAUCCGCGCUGCAUUAGCUAGUUGGUAAGGUAACGGCUUACCAAGGCAACGAUGCGUAGCUGACCUGAGAGGGUGAUCGGCCACACUGGAACUGAGACACGGUCCAGACUCCUACGGGAGGCAGCAGUGGGGAAUCUUCCGCAAUGGGCGAAAGCCUGACGCAGCAACGCCGCGUGAGUGAUGAAGGUCUUCGGAUCGUAAAACUCUGUUAUUGGGGAAGAACAUAUGUGUAAGUAACUGUGCCCAUCUUGACGGUACCUAAACAGAAAGCCACGGCUAACUACGUG